GGCGCCCUCUUUCUUCCUCCUUCAUGCCCCUUCCUUCCUCUUAUUCUCCACAUCCUUGUUCUCACUCUAGAUCAGAUCUGAGAGAGGCUUUAGAGAGGAAAAAGAAAAUUAAGAAGGGUUCUUGAUAUUUUUUGGUGGUUAGGAUCAAACUCCAGGAUCAAACAACAGGGCUGCUUCAAGUGAUAUAAGGAAAAAGAUCCUGGUCCA
rnacentral:lncRNA from 1 species